CAGGCGUGCUCUUUAGGCAAAUCCGGAGAGCUAAGCUGAGGCGUGAUGACGAGCGCUCUUUGAGCGUGAAGUAACUGAUACCCUGCUUCCAGGAAAAGCCUCUAAGCUUCAGUCAUAGAGUGACCGUACCGCAAACCGACACAGGUGGGCAGGUAGAAGAUACUAAGGCGCUUGAGAGAACUCAGGAGAAGGAACUCGGCAAAUUGAUACCGUAACUUCGGGAGAAGGUAUGCCCCAUUAGCUUGUAGGAGAACAUCCGAAGGGCGAAGGGGCCGCAGAGAAUCGGUGGCUGCGACUGUUUAUUAAAAACACAGCACUCUGCAAACACGAAAGUGGACGUAUAGGGUGUGACGCCUGCCCGGUGCCGGAAGGUUAAGUGAUGGGGUGCAAGCUCUUGAUCGAAGCCCCGGUAAACGGCGGCCGUAACAAUAACGGUCCUAAGGUAGCGAAAUUCCUUGUCGGGUAAGUUCCGACCUGCACGAAUGGCGUAACGAUGGCCACACUGUCUCCUCCUGUGACUCAGCGAAGUUGAAGUGUUUGUGAAGAUGCAAUCUCCCCGCGGCUAGACGGAAAGACUCCAUGAACCUUUACUGUAGCUUUGCAUUGGACUUUGACGGGACUUGUGUAGGAUAGGUGGGAGGCAUUGAAACCGGGACGCUAGUUCCGGUGGAGCCAACCUUGAAAUACCACCCUGGUGUCGUUGAGGUUCUAACCCAGGUCUGUGAAUCCAGAUCGGGGACCGUGCAUGGUGGGCAGUUUGACUGGGGCGGUCUCCUCCCAAAAGGUAACGGAGGAGUACGAAGGUCUUCUAGGUACGGUCGGACAUCGUACUGAUAGUGCAAUGGCAAAAGAAGGCUUGACUGCGAGACCGACAAGUCGAGCAGGUGCGAAAGCAGGUCAUAGUGAUCCGGUGGUUCUGUAUGGAAGGGCCAUCGCUCAACGGAUAAAAGGUACUCUGGGGAUAACAGGCUGAUUCCGCCCAAGAGUUCACAUCGACGGCGGAGUUUGGCACCUCGAUGUCGGCUCAUCACAUCCUGGGGCUGUAGCCGGUCCCAAGGGUAUGGCUGUUCGCCAUUUAAAGUGGUACGUGAGCUGGGUUUAAAACGUCGUGAGACAGUUUGGUCCCUAUCUGCCGUGGGCGCUGGAUAUUUGAGGGGGCCUGCUCCUAGUACGAGAGGACCGGAGUGGACGAAUCUCUGGUGUACCGGUUGUGACGCCAGUCGCAUCGCCGGGUAGCUAAAUUCGGAAGAGAUAACCGCUGAAAGCAUCUAAGCGGGAAACUCGCCUCAAGAUGAGAUAUCCCUGGGAACUUGAUUCCCCUAAAGGGUC
rnacentral:rRNA from 1 species